AGAGUUUGAUCUGGCUCAGAGCGAACGCUGGCGGCAGGCCUAACACAUGCAAGUCGAGCGGCCGUAGCAAUACGGCAGCGGCAGACGGGAGAGUAACACGUGGGAACGCGCCCUUCGGUUCGGGAUAACCCAGGGAAACUUGGGCUAAUACCGGAUACGCCCUUACGGGGAAAGAUUUAUUGCCGAAGGAACGGCCCGCGUCCGAUUAGCUAGUUGGUGAGGUAAUGGCUCACCAAGGCGACGAUCGGUAGCUGGUCUGAGAGGAUGACCAGCCUCACUGGGACUGAGACACGGCCCAGACUCCUACGGGAGGCAGCAGUGGGGAAUAUUGGACAAUGGGCGCAAGCCUGAUCCAGCCAUGCCGCGUGGGUGAUGAAGGCCCUAGGGUUGUAAAGCCCUUUCAGCGGGGAAGAUAAUGACGGUACCCGCAGAAGAAGCCCCGGCUAACUUCGUGCCAGCAGCCGCGGUA
rnacentral:rRNA from 1 species